GUUGUGGCGCCAGCUGCAUCGCAGGGUAGCUAUGUUCGGUUUGGAUAAGCGCUGAAAGCAUCUAAGCGCGAAGCCAGCUCUGAGAUGAGUAUUCCAUUACCGUCUCUGACGGUUAAAAGGGUCGUGGUAGAUGACCACGUUGAUAGGCUACAGGUCGAAGUGCAGUGAUGUAUGCAGCCGAGUAGUACUAAUAACCCGAAUGCUUCCUUUUU
rnacentral:rRNA from 1 species